CACUCCUACGGGGCAGCAGUGGGGAAUUUUGGACAAUGGGCGAAAGCCUGAUCCAGCAAUGCCGCGUGAGUGAAGAAGGCCUUCGGGUUGUAAAGCUCUUUUGUCAGGGAAGAAACGGUGAAAGCUAAUAUCUUUUGCUAAUGACGGUACCUGAAGAAUAAGCACCGGCUAACUACGUGCCAGCAGCCGCGGUAAUACGUAGGGUGCAAGCGUUAAUCGGAAUUACUGGGCGUAAAGCGUGCGCAGGCGGUUUUGUAAGUCUGAUGUGAAAUCCCCGGGCUCAACCUGGGAAUUGCAUUGGAGACUGCAAGGCUAGAAUCUGGCAGAGGGGGGUAGAAUUCCACGUGUAGCAGUGAAAUGCGUAGAUAUGUGGAGGAACACCGAUGGCGAAGGCAGCCCCCUGGGUCAAGAUUGACGCUCAUGCACGAAAGCGUGGGGAGCAAACAGGAUUAGAAACCCGUGUAGUCCCA
rnacentral:rRNA from 1 species